rnacentral:rRNA from 1 species
GAAAAUAACUAUCUUAACCUAGUAUUUUAAAAAUUACUCCUAUGAGUGAAAAGUCUCAUAGAAAGAAAAUAGACGAGAAGACCCUAGAAAUUUUUAUAUAGUGUUUUGUUAUUAUUCUAUUUUGUUGGGGCGACAUAGUAACAGAUUUAACUUGCUAUAUAUAAUAUGCUAUUUAUUAGUCGAAAGAAUAAAUUACUCUAGGGAUAACAGCAUAAUUCACUUUUGGGUUUGUGACCUCGAUGUUGGACUA